rnacentral:misc_RNA from 1 species
UUUCCGUAGGUGAACCUGCGGAAGGAUCAUUCAUAAUAAGUGUUUUAUGGCACUUUUUUAAAUCCAUAUCCACCUUGUGUGCAAUGUCAGGGUUGGUCUCUUUUGAUCAGCCUCAAACAUCAACUAUUAUCUCAACUCUUUGUCUGAAAAAUAUUAUGAAUAAAACAAUUCGAAAUACAACUUUCAACAACGGAUCUCUUGGCUCUC